AGAGUUUGAUUCUGGCUCAGAACGAACGCUGGCGGCGUGGAUAAGACAUGCAAGUUGGACGAUCACUCUCGAGUAGCAAUAUUUUAGAGUGGGAGUAGCGCAAGGGUGCGUAACACGUGGGUAAUUUACCAUGAAGACUGGGAUAACUCCGAGAAAUCGGAGCUAAUACCGGAUGUGGUUGUCUGAGGGAAUCCUUGGACAAUUGAAGCUGGGGACCGCAAGGCCUAGCACUCUAUGAUAAGCCCGCGGCCUAUCAGCUAGUUGGUGAGGUAAGAGCUCACCAAGGCGAAGACGGGUAGCUGGUCUGAGAGGACGACCAGCCACACUGGAACUGAGAUACGGUCCAGACACCUACGGGUGGCAGCAGUCGAGAAUUUUUCUCAAUGGGCGAAAGCUUGAAGGAGCGACGCCGCGUGGGGGAUGAAGGGCUUCGGCUUGUAAACCCCUGUCAUCUGGGAGCAAACCUUCUUUGCUAAUACCAAAGAAGUUGAUAGUACCGGAAGAGGAAGGGACGGCUAACUCUGUGCCAGCAGCCGCGGUAAUACAGAGGUCCCAAGCGUUGUUCGGAUUCACUGGGCGUAAAGGGUGCGUAGGUGGCGAGGUAAGUUUGAUGUGAAAUCUCCGAGCUCAACUUGGAAAUGGCAUUAAAUACUACCUUGCUUGAGGAUCGGAAGGGAGACUGGAAUUCUCGGUGUAGCGGUGAAAUGCGUAGAUAUCGAGAGGAACACCAGUGGCGAAAGCGAGUCUCUGGACGAAUCCUGACACUGAGGCACGAAAGCUAGGGGAGCAAACAGGAUUAGAUACCCUGGUAGUCCUAGCCGUAAACGGUGCAUAUUUGCCGUGAGAGGAAUCGACCCCUUUCGUGGCGGAGCUAACGCGUUAAAUGUGCCGCCUGGGAAGUACGGCCGCAAGGUUAAAACUCAAAGAAAUUGACGGGGGCCUGCACAAGCGGUGGAGUAUGUGGCUUAAUUCGAUACAACGCGAAGAACCUUACCUGGCCUUGACAUGUGAGUGGUAGAAGCCUGAAAGGGUAACGACUCCGCAAGGGGAGCUCAUACAGGUGCUGCAUGGCUGUCGUCAGCUCGUGUCGUGAGAUGUUGGGUUAAGUCCCGCAACGAGCGCAACCCCUGUGUCCUGUUGCCACCCGAACGAGAGUUCGGAGCACUCUGGACAGACUGCCUCGUCCUAACGAGGAGGAAGGUGGGGAUGACGUCAAGUCAGGAUGGCCCUUACGGCCAGGGCUGCACACGUACUACAAUGCCUGGUACAAAAGGAUGCAAGACCGCGAGGUGGAGCAAAUCCCUAAAACCAGGCUCAGUUCAGAUUGAAGGCUGCAAUUCGCCUUCAUGAAGCUGGAAUCGCUAGUAAUGGCGCAUCAGCUACGGCGCCGUGAAUACGUUCCCAGGCCUUGUACACACCGCCCGUCACAUCAUGAAAGCCGUUUGUACCCGAAGUCAGUAAGCUAACCGCAAGGAGGCAGCUGCCGAAGGUAUGAACGGUGAUUGGGAUGAAGUCGUAACAAGGUA
rnacentral:rRNA from 1 species